GGCGCAGUGGUUCAGCAUUUGGCUGCUAACCAGAACAUCGGUGGUUCGAACCACCAGCUGCUCCA
rnacentral:tRNA from 1 species